rnacentral:rRNA from 1 species
UACGGAGGGUGCAAGCGUUAUCCGGAUUCACUGGGUUUAAAGGGUGCGUAGGUGGGCUGGUAAGUCCGUGGUGAAAUCUCCAAGCUUAACUUGGAAACUGCCGUGGAUACUAUUAGUCUUGAAUCUCGUGGAGGUAAGCGGAAUAUGUCAUGUAGCGGUGAAAUGCUUAGAUAUGACAUAGAACACCGAUAGCGAAGGCAGCUUGCUACACGAGUAUUGACACUGAGGCACGAAAGCGUGGGGAUCAAACAGG